UACAGAGACUGCAAGCGUUAUUCGGAUUCACUGGGCGUAAAGAGUGCGCAGGUGGCCAAGUGUGUUAGGCGUGAAAGCCCGGGGCUUAACCCCGGAAUUGCACCUAAAACUACUUGGCUAGAGCAUUGGAGAGGGGAGCAGAAUUCAUGGUGUAGCAGUGAAAUGCGUAGAUAUCAUGAGGAAUACCAGAGGCGAAGGCGGCUCCCUGGACAAUUGCUGACACUCAGGCACGAAAGCGUGGGGAGCAAAAGGG
rnacentral:rRNA from 1 species